AUUUGUCAAGUUAAAUUGUAUGAUUACUCAGUGCGUUUACAUGCAAUUUAAACAAACAGUUACAUUUGGGUUAAGGCAAUACCCCAAUUUCUCAAACGCUAUGUAAACACC